GGAGCGCCAUGAUUACCGGGUGAAGGCUGCACCGUUACAGGAGAACCAGUUAGUGUAUGUACGUGAUCUUGGAGUCCGGGGCCGACAUAAAAUCCAAGACCUCUGGAGUUCAGUGGUGCAUAAGGUAUUGAAAACCCCUAGGUUGGGGGGUGUGGUUUAUACUGUCGCACCAGUUGAUGCUCUAGAGAAGGUCAAGCAUGUUCAUCGGACCAUGCUUAAGCCCUGUGUUGGUUGUGAAGUCGAAGGUGAUCCUCAGCCUUCUCCAGCUGAAGAGGUGGCUACCUCCGAGGACUCGUUUGAGCAGGAGCUCUGGGUUCAGAUCCCUGCAGUGGAGGGGAAUACAGCGUCAUCUGCCCCUGGGGCUGCCUGUACAGGUCUUUCCCAGUGCCCCCAGUCGUUGGCUGCAGCGUUGCCUCCAGCCAUGCCAAUUCACUCUGGGGUAGGCGGGGAGGAAUAUGCCUCUUGGCAUACGGGUACCCCUUCAAGACCCUCUGUAGUCACCACUCAAGUGAUGGAACAGCCAAGUACCAGUGGGGUAGGGAUACGAAGAACCGCCAGGACCACUGCAGGCCGACAUACUACUCUUUAUCAUCUUCCUAGGUCGGUAGGGGGCGUGGCCUUAGGGGCUGUGAGUUCUUCCGGACCUGUGUCUCAUGCGGUAGGGGCUGUGUUUAGACCUUGGCAGUAACUCGGGGUUUGGUUGUAGCUGUCCAUCGUCGGGACGACGAUGCAAAAUCCUGGGGUAGAUUGUAAUGAGGUGGAGCUGGAGGGUGCGAUCUGGUUGGGGCAUGGUAAUUUCAUUAACCUGGCUGCAACAAUUAAGCAAUCAGCACGCGUAUAUAGGACCCGGUUGUGGUUGCGUGUGUGUGACUGAUUUGCAAGCGUGACGUGACUCUCCGUGCGCUAGUAUCUCCUUUUCCGGAAGUUGUGGCUAUAUCCAACGCUGCAGGUAGGGCAUCAGUGGACGGGGUCGUUUGCUUGCUGUAUGGGUGGUUGUAAUGUGCUUUUGGUAUCUUUCUUACAGUGGCAAGGGCUUAGUAAAUCUAGCAGCUUGCGGUUGCUUCCGCUUUUAAGGCUUUCCAACUUUUACCGCGUGUAAUCUGCCAGUGGAUCGCGACUUGGAGUGUCCCGGACCGACGUGAGCCAGACCAUCAACGGGAUACUAAGUCACUACAAGUGCUGCUGUUUUGCCUGGAUGUUUUGCCCGGAUGUUUUAUGUUUUGUUUCGUGUUUUACUUGGUUUUAGGUAUUAAAGUGUUUUCGUGAUUGGAUGUAAACUGGGGGGUGUCGUUGGGAAGGUUUGGUGCUGGGCGGUGAGGAUCCGUGUCGGGCGAUACCGCGCUGCGUGGUCGCGUUGCGUUCUUUUAGCCCACCCCUUGGGUGGAGGUACGUGCGGCAUGUGCUGCGGGACCCCUUAGAGUUGUCUGACUGUACGCCUCCCAUUCCCUUCCCGACAACAGCUGCCUGGUUUGGGUUUUCUCUUGUGUUGUGUGAUUGGAGUGUUUUAAACAUGAUUUGAUUUGUAUUCUUUGUGCUGUGAUUUUGGGUUUUGUAAUUUGCUGUUUGGUUUCUUUUUGUUUUUAUUUGGAGUGUGGCCAGCAGCCUAAUAAAGGGAGUGUUUAUGGUC